rfam:Gossypium arboreum cultivar AKA8401 contig_5338_5, whole genome shotgun sequence.
AAUAAGAGAAUGAUAAAUUAGAUUUUUCCUUCUCAUUUUUAGCCUUUUCCUCUUGAAAAAAUUCAAAUAAAACUAAAAACACUAAAAUCAGAAUGAAAAAUCUGAUUUGUUAUUCUCCCGUU